AGCACACUAAGGGUCAAAGACAUGAGAGAGCACACGAAGGAAGACACGAAGACAACAGUAAGGAGGAACCCCAAAGAAGAACACCAACUUAACUAAGAGCUUGACAAAGAAAACCUCAUAUGGCCAAGCAUAGUUCUUCGGGUGUAGCAGAGAUAAGAGAAUCUGCAAAGGAUAAACACAACAGAAUGAAAUACAAAACGACAAACAAAACAGGAAACCGAACGAAGAAACCCCUUAG
rnacentral:lncRNA from 1 species